CUCUUCCUGUUUCUGCAUCAUCUUGGGUGCCGCGGGCCUUUGGACACCAUUCACUUCAGAUUUCCCCACCAGUGCCUCAGAUAUGACCAGACAGCUUAAGGAACUGAAGUUGACUUUAUGAAACGUGGAGCCAUAAAGCCCCUUGGAAGUGUUGGCCUGAUACCCUGCUUCUAAAGUUUCCAGCAGCCUCCCCAGGGUGAGUAAAGAAUGUCGCUUCCUGGCAGGUGCAGGAAACUCAGGAUACUUUGGGGGCCUCGUGAAGAGGAAUUCACCCAAAUCUACUGGUAUUGCAGGCAUGUCUGAUGUUUUUUUGACCCACUGCAAAUUCUUCUGUGGAUUCCAGAUUCUUCCCAGAGCUGUUUCCGUUUGUGGAUAGCUGUGUAAUUGUUGAUCUUCAUCAGGGGAACGGAGGCUGGGGUCUCCUCUACCACCAUGUUGGUGAUAUCACUUCUCCGAUCUAGGAUUUAUUUCAAUAUCUCUUGUGUUUGCACACAGAGGGUUAUAUAUAAAAUAAAAUAACUCCGAUUUA